UACGGGGGGGGUAAGCGUUGUUCGGAAUUACUGGGCGUAAAGGGCUCGUAGGCGGCCAACUAAGUCAUACGUGAAAUCCCUCAGCUUAACUGGGGAACUGCGUGUGAUACUGGAUGGCUUGGAUUUGGGAGAGGGAUGCGGAAUUCCAGGUGUAGCGGUGAAAUGCGUAGAUAUCUGGAGGAACACCGGUGGCGAAGGCGGCAUCCUGGACCAAUAUUGACGCUGAGGAGCGAAAGCUAGGGAGCAAACGGG
rnacentral:rRNA from 1 species